rnacentral:tRNA from 1 species
GAAAGCAUGCGUGCCCGGUGGCACGGCCGGGCUUCAAACCCGGUUGGGGGCGUCAGACGCUCCCAGGUAGGUUCGACUCCUGCUGCUUUCC